GUUUGUGGUCAAAGGCUUGCACCCAUGUGCCACAGCAGAUGCCCCCGAUUUUCGGCCAGAAAGGGAGUGAGUGAUACUGAAGAUGAACACCCCCUGUUGUGUCCUCGGUGGCCAUCAAUUCUUCACCGAGAGCGGCCUUCGUCCGCCUGUAUUGAUGAUAGGAGUGCCGGCACCACGGAGUCCUCCAGCAACCACACAAAUGAUGAAGACGGAUGGAUAUAGAUUUCAUUAAAUCUGGACCUGACUACAUGAAGAUUGAAGGAGGAAGAAAAUUCCAGCAGACCCAGGCUGAGGGAGGAGCGGCCAUUUGAUCUGCAGCGACUAGUUGUGGGUGAGGAGAGGAAGACAGGACAAAGACACGCGGUGGAAAAGAACCAGAGAUUAAUAAUAACUAAUGAUUAAAUACAAAGUACUGUAUAAACACUGCUGAUAGAAGAAACACUAUUGUAGUAUAUCUAAUGCCAUAAGUCAUAACUAUAUGCUUUAUUAAAAAGGAAAGUUUCAAGUCGAAUCUUAAAAAUAGAGAAGGUGUAUGUCUCCUAUAUCCAAACUGGGAGUGGCC